GCUCACUCAGGGGUGUGCGCAUGUGUAUUUUACUCGCACAUGUCGUGAAAUGAACUUGCCUGGAGGUGAAAUAUCCUUUUUUUCCCCAUUCAGGCCGAAGGAAGUUUGGUGGGGGUUAUUUACAGGCUUCUACUAGGUACAUCUGGAUGACUCACAUUAAGUGAUUACCAGGAUGGAUUUGAGACGUUUCUGGAGCUCAGGAAACUUGGGGUUACUAAUGCCAAGCUCUAAUGCCAAGAGCUCUUGUACGACUGGAGGAUCAGACAUUCUUAAUCAAGAAACGUUCAUGAAGAUGACUUGUGUAUUUGAUAGUCAAGAACAUCCAGACUGAGAUUUACUUAAGCAGAAAUUGGAAUGUCAUUCUUUAUUGUAAGACUGUCCAACUUGGUGUCCUCACCUUAGAAGACCCAUGAUAUUCAGAUACCAUCUUUUGUUUUUAGAACCACUGUUCCUGAGAUAUACAGCAGAAUGUAAUUGAGGCUUCAGUUACUGCCUAAAGUUCUUCAAGAAUGUUUUCAAGGACAGAAGGACAGCUCUUGGAAGUUAACGGAGAUUAUCAUGAAGACCUACAUGGAGCUCUGAAAAUGUGUAUGUGUAAAAAAAAAAAAAGAGUACUAACAAAUGCAAAGAACGACUCCCCUACACUAAAAGAAUUGUACUAACGGAGACGUGCACAUUGAAGUUGUUCAUCCAUAUAUCUCCAGUGAUAAAUACUUGAAUUAGAAGUAACACAUCUAAACAACGUCUAGUAUUGUCUGCCUCUGUUUCUGUGUUAUGAACUAUGUAGAAUUUCUUGGUGACCAAUAAAAGGAUCACAGACUAUAGAAUGCAAGCAGUAGUAAAUUACAGUGCUUUUUUUGUACCUGAAGUCAACAUUUAAAUGACCAUGUAGAUGAGUCUGACAUUGUACAUUUCAUAUCCUGCAUUGGUAAAGGCUUUUGUAGUUGUGUUGCUGCAGUUCUGUUUUUCUGCUGUUGUAUCCUUUUCUGUUUUUAAAUGUUUAAUCUUCCUGAUUUAUGGAGUUUUGAAACUACUUAAUUUUAAUUUCAUGAUGUAGUUUGUAAAAUAUUUACAUAACUUAAAAGGCAAUACAGUGAAAUUGGUGCCUGAGAGUUCACUGUAUCCAUAAUUAUAUCUUACUGGUUGUUUUCGUUUUUGAGCAUUUUCUUCAUUGUGAAGUAUUUAAAUAUUGCAUGAACAUAGUUAUACUAUAAUCACCACAAUUUUAAAAUGUUAUAGUUUCAUCUGAGUACAGUAAGUUGCUACAUGAUUAAAGAUUUUGCACAAUUGUUUAUGCUGUUUCUGCAACCGAUAAAGGACAGUUUUGAACAUA